rnacentral:rRNA from 1 species
GGCCUAACACAUGCAAGUCGAACGAACCUUCGGGUUAGUGGCGCACGGGUGCGUAACGCGUGGGAAUGUACACCUUGGUAAGGAAUAACUGCUGGAAACGGUAGCUAAUACCUUAUAAUGACUUCGGUCCAAAGAUUUAUCGCCAAGGAAUCAGCCCGCGUUUGAUUAGAUAGUUGGUGAGGUAAAGGCUCACCAAGUCUACGAUCAAUAGCUGGUCUGAGAGGAUGAUCAGCCAGACUGGAACUGAGACACGGUCCAGACUCCUACGGGAGGCAGCAGUAAGGAAUCUUCCACAAUGGGGGCAACCCUGAUGGAGCAACGCCGCGUGAAGGAUGAAGGCCUUAGGGUCGUAAACUUC